CGCGGAGUAGAGCAGUCUGGUAGCUCGUCGGGCUCAUAACCCGAAGGUCGGUGGUUCAAAUCCAUUCUCCGCUA
rnacentral:tRNA from 7 species